GCUGGCGGCAGGCCUAACACAUGCAAGUCGAACGGAGUUAUAUUGUAGCUUGCUAUGGUAUAACUUAGUGGCAGACGGGUGAGUAAUGUAUAGGAAUCUACCUAGUAGUACGGAAUAAUUGUUGGAAACGGCAACUAAUACCGUAUACGCCCUACGGGGGAAAAAUUUAUUGCUAUUAGAUGAGCCUAUAUUAGAUUAGCUAGUUGGUGGAGUAAUAGCCUACCAAGGCAAUGAUCUAUAGCUGAUCUGAGAGGAUGAUCAGCCACACUGGAACUGAGAUACGGUCCAGACUCCUACGGGAGGCAGCAGUGGGGAAUAUUGGACAAUGGGCGAAAGCCUGAUCCAGCCACGCCGCAUGAGUGAAGAAGGCCUUUGGGUUGUAAAGCUCUUUUAGUGAGGAAGAUAAUGACGGUACUCACAGAAGAAGUCCUGGCUAACUCCGUGCCAGCAGCCGCGGUAAUACGGAGAGGGCUAGCGUUAUUCGGAAUUAUUGGGCGUAAAGGGCGCGUAGGCGGAUUAGUAAGUUAAAAGUGAAAUCCCAAGGCUCAACCUUGGAAUUGCUUUUAAAACUGCUAAUCUAGAGAUUGAAAGAGGAUAGAGGAAUUCCUAGUGUAGAGGUGAAAUUCGUAAAUAUUAGGAGGAACACCAGUGGCGAAGGCGUCUAUCUGGUUCAAAUCUGACGCUGAGGCGCGAAGGCGUGGGGAGCAAACAGGAUUAGAUACCCUGGUAGUCCACGCUGUAAACGAUGAAUGUUAAAUAUGGGAAGUUUUACUUUCUGUAUUACAG
rnacentral:rRNA from 1 species